rnacentral:rRNA from 1 species
CAGCCGCCACGGUAAUACGUAGGGUGCGAGCGUUAAUCGGAAUUACUGGGCGUAAAGCGUGCGCAGGCGGUUAUGUAAGACAGUUGUGAAAUCUCCGGGCUCAACCUGGGAACUGCAUCUGUGACUGCAUAGCUAGAGUACGGUAGAGGGGGAUGGAAUUCCGCGUGUAGCAGUGAAAUGCGUAGAUAUGCGGAGGAACACCGAUGGCGAAGGCAAUCCCCUGGACCUGUACUGACGCUCAUGCACGAAAGCGUGGGGAGCAAACAGGAUUAGAUACCCCUGUAGUCCCUGUCUCUUAUAC